rnacentral:rRNA from 1 species
CGGACGGGUGAGUAACGCGUGGGUGACCUGCCUCACACUGGGGGAUAACAGUUAGAAAUAGCUGCUAAUACCGCAUAAGCGCACGGUUCCGCAUGGAACAGUGUGAAAAACUCCGGUGGUGUGAGAUGGACCCGCGUCUGAUUAGCCAGUUGGCGGGGUAACGGCCCACCAAAGCGACGAUCAGUAGCCGGCCUGAGAGGGUGAACGGCCACAUUGGGACUGAGACACGGCCCAA